UAUUUAUUUCCCUUCCCAUAUUUUUGAUAUGUGUGAGAAAAACUGACUUGCAAUUGAAAAAAUUAUGUAAUUCGAUCUCCCCCAUCUUCGUUCUUCAGUUCUCACUUUUAUUUUUGCAUAAAAACGAAACAAAAGUUGUUGUUUCAAAGCAACAAAAACCGGAAAA
ensembl:ncRNA C11D2.100 ncRNA